rnacentral:tRNA from 1 species
CGAGGUGUAGCUCAGUUGGUAGAGCGCUGCGUUCGGGACGCAGAGGCCGCAAGUUCAAGUCUUGUCACUUCGACCA